AAGGAAUAGAAGAAGAGAGAAGAGUGGAGAAAGAAUAGAAUUUACGAAGAAAAGAAUGAGAAUUUCAUUGAUAAUAUUCUGGAAUGACCAUCUCAGAGCUAUUACAGCUUUUUUAUAUCCUAAUUCCUGCCCAUAACAAGCUGAAGAUCUAGUAAAUGCCUCUUAACUAAUUUCCAUCCAAAUGCUAGCUGACUUCUGUUGACUUUUCUUGCUUUCACACCUAUUUCUGCAAUUCUUAUUAUUAUCUUUAUUCCUAUACUGCUUCCUAUGUAACAUCUACAUGUGCCUACACAUAUGCAAACCUGCAGGUUAAGUAUUAAAAUGAGAUGAAAACCUUUCUUUUUUGCUCAGAAAUUUGUUCCUCUUUCUGUAUCACAUUUCUACUAAGCCAUAUUGUGUGAAUGCAAGAGGAAAUUGUUGCUUAAUGAAUUUGAUAGCUCAAGUGAAGCAAUAAUGAAAUUCCAUUGAAAUUGUUAUAGCUUUUCUUUUCUUAGUAGAAUCAUGCAACACAAAUCGGGUGAUGGAAAGGGAAUUCAAUACAGACUUCUCCUUUGUGUCCUUUAAGGAAAUAUUUUGCAAUGUUUACAAAUUUUCCCUACUUCUUUCCUUGUCCUUUUCUUCUUUUCAGGUCUGACAAAG
rnacentral:misc_RNA from 1 species